AGUCUUGUCUGAUGUUGAGUCAGCAGCAGUUAUUGUGUAGCGUGAGUUAGUCUUGUAGGUGCAUAUGUUACAGCAAUACAUUGAUAAAAUAAACAGUGAAACAACAGGUGAAACCAAAGGUAAAACAGAAGGCAAGACAGUAACCGGUUAAUGCAUUGUAUGCUUGUUGGCUACAAUUUUUACAGUUCAGGUCAGUUCUCUCCGGUGCUCUCUAUUCCUGGGGAUGAAUGGAGUCGUUCUGUCAGGAUCCCAGGUGUGCGAUGACGUGGGAGUUUCUUGUGCUGCGGGUCCGGCUUGAAUCCCCA